GCUCGUGACAACCUAAGGAUCUCAUCAAGACACAGUGCCACUUCACUACCCUCGCCCACGUGCUGCCGCACGCGCGGGCAACGCUGGGUGUCCAAAGCGAUUACGCAUCGGGAAAAUCUCAAAACCACGGCUCCAAACUCCUACCCUAGGUAUAACGCCAUAUUUGGAACCACUUUUGUUCUGGGACCUACCCAAAAAACUGACCGGAAGUGGCCAAACUCGGAGGCCGAAAAUCGGUCAAAUUCCAAUUCGAAAACCGAGCUAUUUACGAUCAAAAUCGAUGCAAUCCUACCCAACCAUCAGCUAGAACAGCUCGAGAGGUUCAAAAUCCAUACCUGGCUCGUCUGAUUUGGUGGAGAAAUGAGGGAGAAUGACGGCUGUGAAAUUCCGGUCACACCCG
rnacentral:lncRNA from 1 species